UACGUAGGUUGCAAGCGUUGUCCGGAUUUAUUGGGCGUAAAGCGAACGCAGGCGGGUAGACAAGUCAGAUGUGAAAGGCCUCAGCUUAACUGAGGAAUUGCAUUUGAAACUGCCUUUCUUGAGUGCAGAAGAGGAGAGUGGAACUCCAUGUGUAGCGGUGGAAUGCGUAGAUAUAUGGAAGAAUACCAGUGGCGAAGGCGGCUCUCUGGUCUGUAACUGACGCUGAUGUUCGAAAGCAUGGGUAGCGAACAGG
rnacentral:rRNA from 1 species